rnacentral:misc_RNA from 1 species
UUUAUUUUUAUUUUUAUUUUUUGCAUUGGGGAGAAGGGAACAGGGCAUUACAAAGAGACAAGUCAAUGAAAAACCUAAAUAAGAAUUGCUAAAUAAAUUCAUAUUCUCAUAAACAUAAUGUAACAGAUAGCAUUUUCUUAUGCAAAUGUUUAUUCUUCUCUCAUGUUCUAUGCUCUUUUCUUUUCCUAUUUUCCCGUUUACAAGAACACUAUAUGGCAAUUUAAUCAUCUUUCAUUAUUCAACUUAUCAAACAAAAGAUAUGCAGGCAUUGCAAUUGUUGAUAUUAGGUGCAAGUAAUUUAAAAACAAAGGCUCUACAGGAUAUAAAUAUUUUUAUAGAAAUGUUA